rnacentral:rRNA from 1 species
CUAGCCGUAAACGAUGGAUACUAGGCGUUGUGAGUAUCGACCCUCACAGUGUCGUAGCUAACGCGUUAAGUAUCCCGCCUGGGGAGUACGCGCGCAAGCGUGAAACUCAAAGGAAUUGACGGGGGCCCGCACAAGCGGCGGAGUAUGUGGUUUAAUUCGAUGCAACGCGAAGAACCUUACCAGGACUUGACAUGUCGCGAAUCUCAGGGAAACUUGAGAGUGCCUUCGGGAGCGCGAACACAGGUGGUGC